GUGGUUCAGUGGUAGAAUUCUUGCUUUCCAUGCAGGAGACCCAGGCUCAUUCCUGGC
rnacentral:tRNA from 1 species